UACGUAGGGGGCAAGCGUUAUCCAGAUUCACUGGGCGUAAAGCGCGUGUAGGCGGCUGGUUAGGUGUGAUGUGAAAUCCUCGGGCUCAACCCGAGAACUGCAUUGCAAACCGGCCUGGCUAGAGUGCAGGAGAGGGAAGCGGAAUUCCAGGUGUAGCGGUGAAAUGCGCAGAUAUCGGGAGGAACACCUAUGGCGAAGGCAGCUCGCUGGGACGUUACUGACGCUGAGACGCGAAAGCGUGGGGAGCAAACAGG
rnacentral:rRNA from 1 species